GGUCUAGUAGUAUGAUACUUGCUUCGGGUGUAAGUGAUCCCGGGUUCAAUUCCCGG
rnacentral:tRNA from 1 species